GAAUUGGGCUCCUCUGAUAGCUGGGAUACUUGGAAUAAUUUUAGUGUUAUUUCUAGUUGGAGGAGGAGUAACACUGUACAAAUCAGGGUUCUGUUCAAAGAAAAACAACUCCAGUAAACCAGGAAUGGCCACUGCAGCAAACAGAAGAAAGUGAAGUUGUUCAGAAACAAAUUCCUGCUCAGAUUUUCAUAAAUUGUUAAACCAAUUAACAACAUUUUGCACAGGAUUAAAUACCUCACCUCAGCCUGUUGAGCAGAGAUCAGACGGUGAAGAUGUGACAGCUGGUGUUUUCAGAGCAAAAUGAGAAGGCUGUUAAGCCCAUGAAAUAUCAUCCACUCAUGACCCCUAAUUGCUUAUCCUAAAGUAGAGUUCCUGCAGUCUGGAGCCCAUCCUGGAAGCACAAGGCACCAGGCUACUCAAUGUUCACCCUGGACAGGAUGACAGUCCAUCACAGGAGAGUGACACACGCACGAAGGGCAAUUAAGUGUCACCAAUCUACCCGAAACAUGCUUUUGGACUGUGGGAGGAAACCUGAGCACCUGCAGGAAACCCACACAAACAUGGGAAGAACAUGCAAACUCCAAGAGUGAACUAAGCAAACCUACAUCGCAUUGUACAGUCCAGGUGCUGGAAGUUGUACCUGCUGACACCCUCUGCUGAAGCAUUAUUUGGUGAAAUGUUUUCCUGGAAGGGGGUGCGGUGGCGCAGUGGG